rnacentral:rRNA from 1 species
AUUGAACGCUGGCGGUAUGCUUAACACAUGCAAGUCGAACGGUAGCAGGCCUUCGGGCGCUGACGAGUGGCGGACGGGUGAGUAACGCGUAGGAAUCUGCCUCAUAGUGGGGGACAACGUGGGGAAACUCACGCUAAUACCGCAUACGCCCUACGGGGGAAAGCGGGGGCUCUUCGGACCUCGCGCUAUGAGAUGAGCCUGCGUUAGAUUAGCUAGUUGGUAGGGUAAAAGCCUACCAAGGCGACGAUCUAUAGCUGGUCUGAGAGGACGAUCAGCCACACUGGGACUGAGACACGGCCCAGACUCCUACGGGAGGCAGCAGUGGGGAAUAUUGGACAAUGGGCGCAAGCCUGAUCCAGCAAUACCGCGUGUGUGAAGAAGGCCCUAGGGUUGUAAAGCACUUUCAAUUGGGAGGAAAACCUGCCGGUCAAUACCCGGCAGCUUGACAUUACCUUUAGAAGAAGCACCGGCUAACUCCGUGCCAGCAGCCGCGGUAACAC